rnacentral:rRNA from 1 species
CCUACGGGCGGCAGCAGUGAGGAAUAUUGGUCAAUGGGUGCGAGCCUGAACCAGCCAAGUAGCGUGAAGGAUGACUGCCCUACGGGUUGUAAACUUCUUUUAUAAAGGAAUAAAGCGAGGCAUGUGUGCCUUUUUGUAUGUACUUUAUGAAUAAGGAUCGGCUAACUCCGUGCCAGCAGCCGCGUGAAUACGGAGGAUCCGAGCGUUAUCCGGAUUGAUUGGGGUUAAAGGGAGCGUAGAUGGGUUGUUAAGUCAGUUGUGAAAGUUUGCGGCUCAACCGUAAAAUUGCAAUUGAUACUGGCAGCCUUGAGUACAGUUGAGGUAGGCGGAAUUCGUGGUGUAGCGGUGAAAUGCUUAGAUAUCACGAAGAACUCCGAUUGCGAAGGCAGCUUACUAAACUGCCACUGACAUUGAUGCUCGAAAGUGUGGGUAUCAAACAGGAUUAGAUACCCGAGUAGUC